UACGGAGGGUGCAAGCGUUAUCCGGAUUCACUGGGUUUAAAGGGUGCGUAGGUGGGUUGGUAAGUCAGUGGUGAAAUCUCCAGGCUUAACUUGGAAACUGCCGUUGAUACUCUCUGUCUUGAAUCCCGUGGAGGUGAGCGGAAUAUGUCAUGUAGCGGUGAAAUGCUUAGAUAUGACAUAGAACACCAAUUGCGAAGGCAGCUCGCUACACGAAGAUUGACUCUGAGGCACGAAAGCGUGGGGAUCAAACAGG
rnacentral:rRNA from 1 species